rnacentral:rRNA from 1 species
CCGGCGCACGGGUGCGUAACGCGUAUGCAACCUAUCUUUAACAGGGGGAUAGCACUGAGAAAUUGGUACUAAUACCCCAUAAUAUCAUAGAAGGCAUCUUUUAUGGUUGAAAAUUCCGAUGGUUAGAGAUGGGCAUGCGUUGUAUUAGCUAGUUGGUGGGGUAACGGCUCACCAAGGCGACGAUACAUAGGGGGACUGAGAGGUUAACCCCCCACACUGGUACUGAGACACGGACCAG